UACACUACCGCUCGCGUAUUUGUUAACAUAAUUUUGCGUAUCGUACGCGUAUCCUUCUCGUAUCAAAUUUGGGCUCGUGUGUCGUUUCUUAUAUACGCGUGU